rnacentral:misc_RNA from 1 species
CCCUUGUAAUGGACCCGUAGUAGACUGUCAUGAAGAGGGCAAUCCAUGGGAAACUCACCUCUUCCAUCACGAAGCCGACGCUUCAUCAGGCGCCCAUCUCCUAGCAUGUCCCGCACCUGAGUAAAACGGACAAGCUCCACUUCAAAAUGAACUUCAUCAAAACCUUCUACCAGAGACAUGAGAGGAGACUCAGUCAAGUACUGAUUGGUAACAUAUAUAACUGCUUUCUCUUCUCGUGUCAUUGUUCCCAUCCCCAUCUCAAGGCCUUUAGGUACCUCAGAUUUCCCAAAAGUAAA